AUCCUGACAGUAACAAUACCUGGUAUUAACAUGCGUCCUCAGUGAUCGGAUCCCAAGUGGACAGCUCUCAGUAAGGGUGCGAACGCACUCCAGACGCAUUGAGAUCGGUUCUUUCGGACCACAUUCAGAGGAGGUCUGGGGCCCCAUAUGGUCACAUUCUUUUAGCAGUGUGUACGCGAAUGUGUCCUGAUCCACAUUAAGGACCGCCUACUCAACUGACGUCCCACUGGGAUUCGCGGAGUCGCUGUGC